GCCCGGCGGCAGCCACGCUGGGGAGGACAUGCAGCCCGAGAAGUAGGAGGACUGGGUCGUCGGCGUGGACGGCUCGCUGUCCAUGUCCAGGGCCAUGGCACGCUUGACAGGAUGGGGGGAGAAAGACCGAGAGAGAGGCGGCUGCUGAGGAAGGUGUGUGCCAGUGUGGGAUGGAGAGGUCGAGGUGGUUCACGUUCACUCACUUUAUAUCGAGCUGCGAGACAGUACCAGCGGCCGUGCAUAUGCAAUACCACCGUACUAUACCAGCUAAUCACUGUGAGUUCCAAACUUAGGAUCCAAUGCUACUCUAAUAAAUUAUAGUAUUUUCUCUGAUCACAAUAUGAAUCCAUCUAGACAUCUAGUUUUGUCAUAAGAGCAUGCUCAACAUUGCAAAUGGUCUCUCUCUAUAAGCAGUCGAAUUGUCUCAAGAUCCUGUUUAGGAUGACUAAUAACUACACUCUUACUUCUUAUUAUUAUAAUACGCGAAAGAGUUGGUGCCGGCAAACCUAGAAAUAGUGAAUUUAUCAGCUCCUAGUUCAAUUUUGAGAGAAGACAUAAAAAUAGCUUCUCAGUAGUAAGAAACGGAGCUACAGCCGGUUAGAGCUCUACUAAAUGAGAUCUAAUUCUACUUUUAUAGCUCACCAUGUGAGUGUCUCCUUGGCGCUCGCAUAGUACGAACACAUAAUGUUUUCUCUCAUUUGCACCAUUGCUACAUGCAAGUUGUCAACAUAGGGGAGCGGGCGUCGGUACGAUCGAGUAGGAGCGGGCGUGCUCCUAGCAUGGGAGAGGGGUUGUCGACGUAGAGAGGAGGGGCAUAGCCGUCGGCUCAGGAGGACUGAAAGAGGCAGAGCAGUCAGCGACUGGGACGAGAAGUUAGGGAGAGAAGCUAGAGAGAGGAGAUGACUCGAGAGGAGAGAAGUUUACAGAGAUAUGAGGACCGAAAAAGAAAGUGAGACUUAAAAACAAACAUAUGGGGGACACUUGUCUGAAAAGUCAUGGCUGAAUGUAUGGUUCGCUGAUUUGUUAUGAGAGAAAAAAAUUAUUGAAUGACUAGCACAUUUGGCG
rnacentral:lncRNA from 1 species